GGUUAAGCGACUAAGCGUACACGGUGGAUGCCCUGGCAGUCAGAGGCGAUGAAGGACGUGCUAAUCUGCGAUAAGCGUCGGUAAGGUGAUAUGAACCGUUAUAACCGGCGAUUUCCGAAUGGGGAAACCCAGUGUGUUUCGACACACUAUCAUUAACUGAAUCCAUAGGUUAAUGAGGCGAACCGGGGGAACUGAAACAUCUAAGUACCCCGAGGAAAAGAAAUCAACCGAGAUUCCCCCAGUAGCGGCGAGCGAACGGGGAGCAGCCCAGAGCCUGAAUCAGUGUGUGUGUUAGUGGAAGCGUCUGGAAAGGCGCGCGAUACAGGGUGACAGCCCCGUACACAAAAAUGCACAUGCUGUGAGCUCGAUGAGUAGGGCGGGACACGUGGUAUCCUGUCUGAAUAUGGGGGGACCAUCCUCCAAGGCUAAAUACUCCUGACUGACCGAUAGUGAACCAGUACCGUGAGGGAAAGGCGAAAAGAACCCCGGCGAGGGGAGUGAAAAAGAACCUGAAACCGUGUACGUACAAGCAGUGGGAGCCUCUUUAUGGGGUGACUGCGUACCUUUUGUAUAAUGGGUCAGCGACUUAUAUUCUGUAGCAAGGUUAACCGAAUAGGGGAGCCGAAGGGAAACCGAGUCUUAACUGGGCGUUAAGUUGCAGGGUAUAGACCCGAAACCCGGUGAUCUAGCCAUGGGCAGGUUGAAGGUUGGGUAACACUAACUGGAGGACCGAACCGACUAAUGUUGAAAAAUUAGCGGAUGACUUGUGGCUGGGGGUGAAAGGCCAAUCAAACCGGGAGAUAGCUGGUUCUCCCCGAAAGCUAUUUAGGUAGCGCCUCGUGAAUUCAUCUCCGGGGGUAGAGCACUGUUUCGGCAAGGGGGUCAUCCCGACUUACCAACCCGAUGCAAACUGCGAAUACCGGAGAAUGUUAUCACGGGAGACACACGGCGGGUGCUAACGUCCGUCGUGAAGAGGGAAACAACCCAGACCGCCAGCUAAGGUCCCAAAGUCAUGGUUAAGUGGGAAACGAUGUGGGAAGGCCCAGACAGCCAGGAUGUUGGCUUAGAAGCAGCCAUCAUUUAAAGAAAGCGUAAUAGCUCACUGGUCGAGUCGGCCUGCGCGGAAGAUGUAACGGGGCUAAACCAUGCACCGAAGCUGCGGCAGCGACGCUUAUGCGUUGUUGGGUAGGGGAGCGUUCUGUAAGCCUGUGAAGGUGUACUGUGAGGUAUGCUGGAGGUAUCAGAAGUGCGAAUGCUGACAUAAGUAACGAUAAAGCGGGUGAAAAGCCCGCUCGCCGGAAGACCAAGGGUUCCUGUCCAACGUUAAUCGGGGCAGGGUGAGUCGACCCCUAAGGCGAGGCCGAAAGGCGUAGUCGAUGGGAAACAGGUUAAUAUUCCUGUACUUGGUGUUACUGCGAAGGGGGGACGGAGAAGGCUAUGUUGGCCGGGCGACGGUUGUCCCGGUUUAAGCGUGUAGGCUGGUUUUCCAGGCAAAUCCGGAAAAUCAAGGCUGAGGCGUGAUGACGAGGCACUACGGUGCUGAAGCAACAAAUGCCCUGCUUCCAGGAAAAGCCUCUAAGCAUCAGGUAACAUCAAAUCGUACCCCAAACCGACACAGGUGGUCAGGUAGAGAAUACCAAGGCGCUUGAGAGAACUCGGGUGAAGGAACUAGGCAAAAUGGUGCCGUAACUUCGGGAGAAGGCACGCUGAUAUGUAGGUGAAGUCCCUCGCGGAUGGAGCUGAAAUCAGUCGAAGAUACCAGCUGGCUGCAACUGUUUAUUAAAAACACAGCACUGUGCAAACACGAAAGUGGACGUAUACGGUGUGACGCCUGCCCGGUGCCGGAAGGUUAAUUGAUGGGGUUAGCGGUAACGCGAAGCUCUUGAUCGAAGCCCCGGUAAACGGCGGCCGUAACUAUAACGGUCCUAAGGUAGCGAAAUUCCUUGUCGGGUAAGUUCCGACCUGCACGAAUGGCGUAAUGAUGGCCAGGCUGUCUCCACCCGAGACUCAGUGAAAUUGAACUCGCUGUGAAGAUGCAGUGUACCCGCGGCAAGACGGAAAGACCCCGUGAACCUUUACUAUAGCUUGACACUGAACAUUGAGCCUUGAUGUGUAGGAUAGGUGGGAGGCUUAGAAGUGUGGACGCCAGUCUGCAUGGAGCCGACCUUGAAAUACCACCCUUUAAUGUUUGAUGUUCUAACGUGGACCCGUAAUCCGGGUUGCGGACAGUGUCUGGUGGGUAGUUUGACUGGGGCGGUCUCCUCCUAAAGAGUAACGGAGGAGCACGAAGGUUGGCUAAUCCUGGUCGGACAUCAGGAGGUUAGUGCAAUGGCAUAAGCCAGCUUGACUGCGAGCGUGACGGCGCGAGCAGGUGCGAAAGCAGGUCAUAGUGAUCCGGUGGUUCUGAAUGGAAGGGCCAUCGCUCAACGGAUAAAAGGUACUCCGGGGAUAACAGGCUGAUACCGCCCAAGAGUUCAUAUCGACGGCGGUGUUUGGCACCUCGAUGUCGGCUCAUCACAUCCUGGGGCUGAAGUAGGUCCCAAGGGUAUGGCUGUUCGCCAUUUAAAGUGGUACGCGAGCUGGGUUUAGAACGUCGUGAGACAGUUCGGUCCCUAUCUGCCGUGGGCGCUGGAGAACUGAGGGGGGCUGCUCCUAGUACGAGAGGACCGGAGUGGACGCAUCACUGGUGUUCGGGUUGUCAUGCCAAUGGCACUGCCCGGUAGCUAAAUGCGGAAGAGAUAAGUGCUGAAAGCAUCUAAGCACGAAACUUGCCCCGAGAUGAGUUCUCCCUGACUCCUUGAGAGUCCUGAAGGAACGUUGAAGACGACGACGUUGAUAGGCCGGGUGUGUAAGCGCAGCGAUGCGUUGAGCUAACCGGUACUAAUGAACCGUGAGGCUUAACCUU
rnacentral:rRNA from 1 species